rnacentral:rRNA from 1 species
AAGAGACAGCAGUCGCCACGGGAAAACGUAGGGUGCGAGCGUUAAUCGGAAUUACUGGGCGUAAAGCGUGCGCAGGCGGUUGUGUAAGACAGGUGUGAAAUCCCCGGGCUCAACCUGGGAAUGGCGCUUGUGACUGCAAAGCUAGAGUGCGGCAGAGGGGGAUGGAAUUCCGCGUGUAGCAGUGAAAUGCGUAGAUAUGCGGAGGAACACCGAUGACGAAGGCAAUCCCCUGGGCCUGCACUGACGCUCAUGCACGAAAGCGUGGGGAGCAAACAGGAUUAGAUACCCGCGUAGUCCCUGUCUCUUAUAC